rnacentral:rRNA from 1 species
CAGUAGCCACGGUAAUACGUAGGGGGCAAGCGUUAUCCGGAAUUACUGGGUGUAAAGGGAGCGUAGACGGUUAAACAAGUCUGAAGUGAAAUGCCGGGGCUCAACCCCGGAGCUGCUUUGGGAACUGUAGAACUGGAGUGUCGGAGGGGUAAGCGGAAUUCCCAGUGUAGCGGUGAAAUGCGUAGAUAUUGGGAGGAACACCGGCGGCGAAGGCGGCUUACUGGACGACAACUGACGUUGAGGCUCGAAGGCGUGGGUAGCAAACAGGAUUAGAUACCCCAGUAGUCCCUGUCUCUUAUAC